rnacentral:rRNA from 1 species
AGACGAAGGUGGCAACCGUUGCUCGGAUUCACUGGGCAUAAAGCGCGCGUAGGUGGCUUGGAAGGUCACCGGUGAAAUCCCACGGCUCAACCGUGGAACUGCCGGUGAAACCGCCUUGCUUGAGGACGGGAGGGGAGAGUGGAACUCUUGGUGUAGCGGUGAAAUGCGUAGAUAUCAAGAGGAACGCCGGUGGCGAAAGCGACUAUCUGGACCGUUCCUGACACUGAGGUGCGAAAGCUAGGGGAGCAAACAGGAUUAGAAACCCGAGUAGUCC